UACGUAGGGUGCGAGCGUUGUCCGGAAUUAUUGGGCGUAAAGAGCUUGUAGGCGGUUUGUCGCGUCUGCUGUGAAAAUCCGGGGCUCAACCCCGGACUUGCAGUGGGUACGGGCAAACUGGAGUACUGCAGGGGAGACUGGAAUUCCUGGUGUAGCGGUGAAAUGCGUAGAUAUCAAGAGGAACACCAGUGGCGAAGGCGAGUCCCUGGACGAUACCUGACACUGGAGGCACGAAAGCCAAGGGAGCAAACAGG
rnacentral:rRNA from 1 species